UGUACGAGUGGAACUGGACAAGGUUUUACAUGGACCGUGGUAUCGACUGCCUUGGCGACAUUAUUGCGGGUGCGUUGACAGGCAGCACGGUGCCGGGGACAGGAAAGAGAGUGCAUCCUCAACCAUGCCGAUCUCGGAGUGUGCUCGUCGGCAGUGGUGGAGAUGGAAUUUUCCUUCAGAUCCAGUUGACAGGCUACCAAAAAUCUUCGCGGAGGACACGGCUGCAAUGGCGGCGCCUGCCUUGCCGGAUGCAACGGAUAGCAGACGGCGAGUGUGGCCGCAGAUAUCUGCGACGCAGUGGCCGGGAGCAAGAGCGAAGCGCAUAAUGUGGAACUAGUUGCAACAGCAGAGAUGCCGCAUUCAGUGGGUGCUGAUCAACUCGUUGUGAUCCAAGAGAGGGAGGACAGUCACGAACUCACGAUGCGGCGUGUGCUCAAUCCACAUGGAAGAUGGAUCCCCAAGCCCCGGGCUGGAAGAAGUGGUUAAACGCUGCAAGUUUUCUAUGCCUGCUGCUUGACAUGUACGAUCUGGGCUGAGAUCCACAUAACCUGUUAGACUUGACUUAUCAGUCUUGAAAGCAACCGUUCAGAGAGGAACAUAGGAGAAAAACGAAAAUUUGUAGAACUAUCUCUUGGCAGUGCUUAAAGCUUCGUUAUGUUUA